GGUCCUGACUCGCUCGACUGGUAAGAGCGUGGCAUUAACGUUGCCAGGGUUAGGGGUUCGGUUCCCACCGGGACCA